AGGACUCCAGUGAACCACAGCGGGGGUUUCAGCAGCUAACAAAUUGUUUCUCUCUGGUGGAGAGAGGAAACAGAGGUGCUGGCAUGGUGAGAGAGGAAACAGGUGCUGGCGUGGUGGAGAGAAAACAGAGGUGACUGUAUGGCGGAGAGAGGGGAAGCAGAGGUGACUGCAUGACCGGCUGUCUGGAACAGGAAAGAUUUGCAAAGGACACAGUGCUGCUCUAGGACACCUGAGCUGUGCUCACACAGAAGUGGCGGAGUGACUUCAGUGCCCUGGUGUCCCCAGAUCAGCCGAGGAGAGUGCUGGCUUCAUGCUGCUACCACUGCAACUUUAAUUAAAACAGACAGAAUCCCUGACAGUCUUCUUGGAGGUCACAUCCCGGCUGAGGACAUUCUCCUGAUGGCAAGGGAUGUCAGUGCCUUUGUACUUUGGCAGAACAGGACACUCUUCAAAUAGGGCUUGAACUUAUGGCUGUUGUUGACAAGGUUUAGUUCAUUGAUGACAAGACAGACAGCAUUUGGUACAGCCAUUCCCAAAUGCAGGACCCCCAGCCCAUGGAAUGGUAUCAUUCACACUUAGUGAACAUCCUCGCACUCCAGGUAACACAAUGUAGAAAAUCCCUCAAAGACAGGACGCCCAGGAGUCUGCCUCUGUGGCCAUUCUAAAUCCUGUGAAGUUGACAACCAAGACUGAGCAUCGUCAGGAUGGCUAAGAUCAAGCACACAAGUGACAGCACAUGCUGGUGAGGAUGUGGAAAAAGGGGAACACUUCUCCACUGCUGGUCGGAGUGCA